GGGCGGUCGAUUAUUGUUCCAAUGUCCGUUGUGUUUGUUUGGUCUUCGCCGCAACUCCGGCAGCUGCAACUGGGCCGUCCGACGCCGCCACAACCGGUCCGUCCAACGCCACUGCAACUGAUCCAUCCGACGCCGCUGCAACUCUGGCAGCGGCAACUGACGACGACGCAACUUCAGCAGCUGCAUCGGGUCCUGAUCGACCCGCACUGCGUUCCUGUCAUCUCCCUUGAGGCCGUUGUUGUUGUGAUCUUGGAUGCUAGACAGUUUGAGUCACUCAAUGCUUCAGUCUGUAUAAGUGACAACCAAUGUUAAAAUAAUACCUUCAAGUCAUGUGGCCAAGGGAUGUCUCCAUGGCUGUGAUGCAGACUGAAAUAUGGUUUUUGACAUCUAGUGGUGAUGAUACGCAAAUGCAGGUAAUUUGGUCCAAUAUUAUGCAGGAUUAAGUUUUCCCGUGGUAUUAAUUUAAUUAGCUAAAUCAACAAAAUAGUAGUAACUGACAUUUUGGUUAUGAUAUUACAAAUGGUAUUAUAUUCUAGGAUAUAUUAUCAUAUGCGUCAUGUAGACUCUACAGAGCCAGGACCCUCUUCAAGUGAUACAGUUUUGUCAGGGAGGAGUUUGAAAGUGGAGGAAGAGGUGAAAGACGGUGUGGGCAGUACCAAUGCAGAUUAUGAGGAUGAAGCAAAUGAGAGAAGGUGCACAGAAAGAGACAGACAGUGACUGAUCAGUGACUUUACUAGCAAGAUGGCUCGGCGCUGGGCUCUUGGUGAUUUAAGGCUGAGAAAGGGCCAGUGAUAACUGUUAAAUGGCAUGGAUAUUGAUUGGAUCACUACACACAUGAUGCCCACAGGCUGAGAACAGACUAAGAACAAGAUACUGUAUAUCUCAAAGGAAUGGCUGGAUUGCCAUAACAUUUGUUAUGCACAAUCAAGACCCCAAGUGGAAGAAACCCAUUGAUUUGGUGACCACUUGACCUUUCCUCUAGCGCCACCAUCAGGCCUUUUAUUUCCAUUUUGUUUUCCAUUUUCCACUUUUACAGCUGCUUAUUUACUAGUUGGUAUGUGUACUUAGUUAAAAAAUCUGCUGCUGAUUUUGUUUGUUAUAUCGUUCUAUAGAUGUUACUUUAUUUUUAUUGAAGAGGUUAAUGUAUAUGUAAGUUAUAUUUAUUUUAAGUUAUUUGUUAAUGUUAAGAUAAUUUUCCAUUCAACAAUUUUACAAUUACAUUUAGACUGUAAAAUAUGGCCUUUUAUCAUGUUUCUUAUAGAGGCUAUCAGUCUUGCAUCAAAUAGUGAAUUCCACUGUAUGCAGAAUGUUGCAUGCAUGUCUGCACAGUGUUAUAUUUUCACAGGUCACUGUCAAUAAAUAUUGUACAGUAAAUAUUGGA